rnacentral:rRNA from 1 species
CUUAAAGGAAUUGACGGGGCCGCACAAGCGGUGAGCAUGUGGUUAAUUCGACGCAACGCGAAGAACCUUACCUGGGUUUGACAUCCUGUGAAUAUCCUGUAAUUGGGAUAGUGCCUUCGGGAGCACAGAGACAGGUGCUGCAUGGCUGUUGUCAGCUCGUGUCGUGAGAUGUUUGGUUAAGUCCAGCAACGAGCGCAACCCUUAUCGUUAGUUGCCAGCAUUUAAAGAUGGGAACUCUAACGAGACUGCCCGGGUCAACCCGGGAGGAAGGUGGGGAUGACGUCAAGUCCUCAUGGCCCUUAUAUCCAGGGCUACACACGUGCUACAAUGGUAGGUACAAAGGGCAGCGACUCCGCAAGGGGAAGCCAAUCCCAAAAGCCUAUCUCAGUCCGGAUUGGGGUCUGCAACUCGACCCCAUGAAGUUGGAAUCGCUAGUAAUCGCGGAUCAGCAUGCCGCGGUGAACUAUGUUCCCGGGCCUU